rnacentral:rRNA from 1 species
CUACGCACUCACGGGAGGCAGGCAGUGGGAAGUAUUAGGCACAAUGGGCGCAAGCCUGAUGCAGCCAUGCCGCGUGAUGAAGAAGGCUCGGGUGUAAAGUACGUUUCAGCAGUGAGGAAGGUGGGUAUGGUUAAUAGCAUACUCAUUUGACGUUAGCUGCAGAAGAAGCACCGGCUAACUCCGUGCCAGCAGCCGCGGUAAUACGGAGGGUGCGAGCGUUAAUCGGAAUUACUGGGCGUAAAGCGCAUGCAGGUGGUUUGUUAAGUCAGAUGUGAAAGCCCGGGGCUCAACCUCGGAAUUGCAUUUGAAACUGGCAAACUAGAGUACUGUAGAGGGGGUAGGAAUUUCAGGUGUAGCGGUGAAAUGCGUAGAGAUCUGAAGGAAUACCGGUGGCGAAGGCGGCCCCCUGGACAGAUACUGACACUCAGAUGCGAAAGCGUGGGGAGCAAACAGGAUUAGAUACCCUGGUAG